ACUGCCGGUGAUAAGCCGGAGGAAGGUGGGGAUGACGUCAAGUCCUCAUGGCCCUUACGGGCUGGGCUACACACGUGCUACAAUGGCGGUGACAGUGGGCAGCGACCUCGCGAGGGGAAGCUAAAUCUCCAAAAGCCGUCUCAGUUCGGAUUGUUCUCUGCAACUCGAGAGCAUGAAGUUGGAAUCGCUAGUAAUCGCGUAACAGCAUGACGCGGUGAAUACGU
rnacentral:rRNA from 1 species